CGCGAAUGGCUCAUUACAACAGCUAACAAAUCUACUUGAUCUUGACACAAUCCUACUUGGAUAACUGUGGUAAUUCUAGAGCUAAUACAUGCAUUAAAGCUCUGACCUUCGGGGAAGAGUGCAUUUAUUAGAACAAAACCAAGCGGCUUCGGCUGUUUUCGGUUGACUCAUAGUAACUGAGCUGAUCGCAUGGUCUUGCACCGGCGACGUGUCCUUCGAGUAUCUGCCGUAUCAACUUUCGAUGGUAGUGUAUCUGACUACCAUGGUGAUCACGCGUAACGGAGAAUAAGGGUUCGACUCCGGAGAGUUCGCCUGAGAAAUCGCGAACACAUCUAAGGAAGGCAGCAGGCGCGAAAAUUACCCACUCUCAGCACGAGGAGGUAGUGACGAAAAAUAACGAGACCGUUCUCUUAUGAGGCCGGUCAUCGGAAUGGGUACAAUUUAAACCCUUUAACGAGUAUCUAUGAGAGGGCAAGUCUGGUGCCAGCAGCCGCGGUAAUUCCAGCU
rnacentral:rRNA from 1 species